UAGCUUCAGCGAUGGAUCGAUCGAUUCGCGUAUCAAUGAAAAACGUUAUUUACCACGGAUUGCAGACGUUUACAGUGGUGAAAUUUUGAAUGCAUAACGUUGGGUUUUCCCUUCGACACGUUUGGUUCAGGGGUG
rnacentral:rRNA from 1 species